GAUGAACGCUGGCGGCGCGCCUAACACAUGCAAGUCGAACGGCACCCACCCUCGGGUGGAAGCGAGUGGCGAACGGCUGAGUAACACGUGGAGAACCUGCCCCCUCCCCCGGGAUAGCCGCCCGAAAGGACGGGUAAUACCGGAUACCCCGGGGUGCCGCAUGGCACCCCGGCUAAAGCCCCGACGGGAGGGGAUGGCUCCGCGGCCCAUCAGGUAGACGGCGGGGUGACGGCCCACCGUGCCGACAACGGGUAGCCGGGUUGAGAGACCGACCGGCCAGAUUGGGACUGAGACACGGCCCAGACUCCUACGGGAGGCAGCAGUGGGGAAUCUUGCGCAAUGGGGGGAACCCUGACGCAGCGACGCCGCGUGCGGGACGGAGGCCUUCGGGUCGUAAACCGCUUUCAGCAGGGAAGAGUCAAGACUGUACCUGCAGAAGAAG
rnacentral:rRNA from 1 species